UACGUAGGUGGCAAGCGUUGUCCGGAUUUAUUGGGCGUAAAGCGCGCGCAGGCGGCUUCUUAAGUCUGAUGUGAAAUCCCACGGCUCAACCGUGGAGGUUCAUUUGAAACUGGGGAGCUUGAGUACAGAAGAGGAGAGUGGAAUUCCAUGUGUAGCGGUGAAAUGCGUAGAUAUAGGGAGGAACACCAGUGGCGAAGGCGGCUCUCUGGUCUGUAACUGACGCUGAGGCGCGAAAGCGUGGGGAGCAAACAGG
rnacentral:rRNA from 1 species